rnacentral:rRNA from 1 species
UACGUAGGUGACAAGCGUUGUCCGGAUUUACUGGGCGUAAAGAGCGCGCAGGCGGUCGUUCAAGUCGAGUGUGAAAGCCCCCGGCUCAACUGGGGAGGGUCACUCGAUACUGAUCGACUUGAAGGCAGGAGAGGGAAGCGGAAUUCCCCGGUGUAGUGGUGAAAUGCGUAGAUAUCGGGAGGAACACCAGUGGCGAAGGCGGCUUCCUGGCCUGCUCUUGACGCUGAGGCGCGAAAGCUAGGGUAGCAAACGGGAUUAAGAUACCCGG